ensembl:antisense D530033B14Rik RIKEN cDNA D530033B14 gene
AUAAGGAGGAAUUAUCAAAUACUUAAUCAAAUGGAUACAAUGUUAGAUGUUGAGCUCCAGCACUGGGACCGACCGACCAGACCAAAGCUGAGUCACUCAAGGGCUGGGACCAGGGCUGGCCUGAAAAUAUGCCAAAUCUGGUAUCUCUCCCAAUACUGAACUUUAACCCUGAGCAAAGUCUUGAGUACGCACGGUUGUCAGUGACAAACUAGAUACAGAGGGACUGGGCUAGCCAAUGCCACCCAAAUAGAGAGUGUGGCGAGCGAACUCCAGUCUAGGUCCAAGUGGCCCCUAGCGCGAUCUGCCAGGUGGGGGUGGAGAGCUGCUGCGGGCAUACAGAUGAUCUGUGCAGGGCCAUAUUAUUUCUUCUUUUCUGUCUUCUUAGAAGGCCUCGAACCCCUUUUAACAUCAAGAUUCUCCUGGCUGGAGUGGAAAAGUCUAUGCGUUUUCGAGUAGGAGCUUUUGCCCGAGUUUGGGUGACUUUCAAGAGCCAAAGUUAACUGAGGCUAAGAAUAGAUUAGCUCCUUGCUCUCUGUGGGGCUAUGA